AAAAAGAACCUGAAACCGUGUACGUACAAGCAGUGGGAGCACGCUUAGGCGUGUGACUGCGUACCUUUUGUAUAAUGGGUCAGCGACUUAUAUUCUGUAGCAAGGUUAACCGAAUAGGGGAGCCGAAGGGAAACCGAGUCUUAACUGGGCGUUAAGUUGCAGGGUAUAGACCCGAAACCCGGUGAUCUAGCCAUGGGCAGGUUGAAGGUUGGGUAACACUAACUGGAGGACCGAACCGACUAAUGUUGAAAAAUUAGCGGAUGACUUGUGGCUGGGGGUGAAAGGCCAAUCAAACCGGGAGAUAGCUGGUUCUCCCCGAAAGCUAUUUAGGUAGCGCCUCGUGAAUUCAUCUCCGGGGGUAGAGCACUGUUUCGGCAAGGGGGUCAUCCCGACUUACCAACCCGAUGCAAACUGCGAAUACCGGAGAAUGUUAUCACGGGAGACACACGGCGGGUGCUAACGUCCGUCGUGAAGAGGGAAACAACCCAGACCGCCAGCUAAGGUCCCAAAGUCAUGGUUAAGUGGGAAACGAUGUGGGAAGGCCCAGACAGCCAGGAUGUUGGCUUAGAAGCAGCCAUCAUUUAAAGAAAGCGUAAUAGCUCACUGGUCGAGUCGGCCUGCGCGGAAGAUGUAACGGGGCUAAACCAUGCACCGAAGCUGCGGCAGCGACGCUUAUGCGUUGUUGGGUAGGGGAGCGUUCUGUAAGCCUGUGAAGGUGUGCUGUGAGGCAUGCUGGAGGUAUCAGAAGUGCGAAUGCUGACAUAAGUAACGAUAAAGCGGGUGAAAAGCCCGCUCGCCGGAAGACCAAGGGUUCCUGUCCAACGUUAAUCGGGGCAGGGUGAGUCGACCCCUAAGGCGAGGCCGAAAGGCGUAGUCGAUGGGAAACAGGUUAAUAUUCCUGUACUUGGUGUUACUGCGAAGGGGGGACGGAGAAGGCUAUGUUGGCCGGGCGACGGUUGUCCCGGUUUAAGCGUGUAGGCUGGUUUUCCAGGCAAAUCCGGAAAAUCAAGGCUGAGGCGUGAUGACGAGGCACUACGGUGCUGAAGCAACAAAUGCCCUGCUUCCAGGAAAAGCCUCUAAGCAUCAGGUAACAUCAAAUCGUACCCCAAACCGACACAGGUGGUCAGGUAGAGAAUACCAAGGCGCUUGAGAGAACUCGGGUGAAGGAACUAGGCAAAAUGGUGCCGUAACUUCGGGAGAAGGCACGCUGAUAUGUAGGUGAAGCGACUUGCUCGUGGAGCUGAAAUCAGUCGAAGAUACCAGCUGGCUGCAACUGUUUAUUAAAAACACAGCACUGUGCAAACACGAAAGUGGACGUAUACGGUGUGACGCCUGCCCGGUGCCGGAAGGUUAAUUGAUGGGGUCAGCGCAAGCGAAGCUCUUGAUCGAAGCCCCGGUAAACGGCGGCCGUAACUAUAACGGUCCUAAGGUAGCGAAAUUCCUUGUCGGGUAAGUUCCGACCUGCACGAAUGGCGUAAUGAUGGCCAGGCUGUCUCCACCCGAGACUCAGUGAAAUUGAACUCGCUGUGAAGAUGCAGUGUACCCGCGGCAAGACGGAAAGACCCCGUGAACCUUUACUAUAGCUUGACACUGAACAUUGAGCCUUGAUGUGUAGGAUAGGUGGGAGGCUUAGAAGUGUGGACGCCAGUCUGCAUGGAGCCGGCCUUGAAAUACCACCCUUUAAUGUUUGAUGUUCUAACGUGGACCCGUAAUCCGGGUUGCGGACAGUGUCUGGUGGGUAGUUUGACUGGGGCGGUCUCCUCCUAAAGAGUAACGGAGGAGCACGAAGGUUGGCUAAUCCUGGUCGGACAUCAGGAGGUUAGUGCAAUGGCAUAAGCCAGCUUGACUGCGAGCGUGACGGCGCGAGCAGGUGCGAAAGCAGGUCAUAGUGAUCCGGUGGUUCUGAAUGGAAGGGCCAUCGCUCAACGGAUAAAAGGUACUCCGGGGAUAACAGGCUGAUACCGCCCAAGAGUUCAUAUCGACGGCGGUGUUUGGCACCUCGAUGUCGGCUCAUCACAUCCUGGGGCUGAAGUAGGUCCCAAGGGUAUGGCUGUUCGCCAUUUAAAGUGGUACGCGAGCUGGGUUUAGAACGUCGUGAGACAGUUCGGUCCCUAUCUGCCGUGGGCGCUGGAGAACUGAGGGGGGCUGCUCCUAGUACGAGAGGACCGGAGUGGACGCAUCACUGGUGUUCGGGUUGUCAUGCCAAUGGCACUGCCCGGUAGCUAAAUGCGGAAGAGAUAAGUGCUGAAAGCAUCUAAGCACGAAACUUGCCCCGAGAUGAGUUCUCCCUGACUCCUUGAGAGUCCUGAAGGAACGUUGAAGACGACGACGUUGAUAGGCCGGGUGUGUAAGCGCAGCGAUGCGUUGAGCUAACCGGUACUAAUGAACCGUGAGGCUUAACCUUACAACGCCGAAGGUGUUU
rnacentral:rRNA from 1 species